rnacentral:rRNA from 1 species
UACGAAGGGGGCUAGCGUUGCUCGGAAUUACUGGGCGUAAAGGGCGCGUAGGCGGACAGUUUAGUCAGAGGUGAAAGCCCAGGGCUCAACCUUGGAAUUGCCUUUGAUACUGGCUGUCUUGAGUUCGGGAGAGGUGAGUGGAAUGCCGAGUGUAGAGGUGAAAUUCGUAGAUAUUCGGCGGAACACCAGUGGCGAAGGCGGCUCACUGGCCCGGUACUGACGCUGAGGUGCGAAAGCGUGGGGAGCAAACAGGG